ensembl:lncRNA
GGAGUGGGCUGCCAGGCCCUCCUCCAGGGCAGCUUCCUUGUCCAGGGAUCCAACCUGCGCCUCUUAUGAGGCCUGCACUGGUGGGCAGCUUCUUCACCGUGAGCGCCACCUCGGAAGCCCGCUGUGCUCUGAACGGUUGACAAUUUGGAGUGGGGACAGGCGCGGCCACCAGCUGAAGGAUGUCAGUGGGGAUGUGUUACAAACCCCAGCACUCCAGCCAGAAGUUCGGAGAAAACAAACAUGCUCAUGGAGGAGAGUGAGAAAAGCACAAAGCAGAUACUUCUGCAGACAGUCCCCUCCCCAGUCCAUCUGUGGAUCAAGCCAGACCCGACCGUAAGGAUGCUGUUUUACAGAUUAGGAGAUGGAGCCUCAGAGAAGUUCUAAGAAGUGACAGAGCCCAGACUGGAACCCCAAACCAUGGGACCCCCAAAUCUCGGCUUUGCCCACCUUUCUUUCUCCGGGCCCACAGGGAGCUGUGGGAGUCUUUUCAGGGAACAAGGUCUUCAGGCGCACGUUUCAGAUGGAUCUCUGCUGCCCACCGCGUGGGGCGCAGUCAGUCUGGAGCCGGGGGACCAGGAGCGCGCUCAGAUCUCUGCAGAGAGACGACGGAGGCCGGGACCAAGCUGUUCCGGUGGGGAAGAAAGAGGACCAGCGCGGCUGCCUGGGCCUCGGUCUCGCUCUCCUGGGGUGGAGACAGCACCCUCUGCUGAGACGGUGAGAAGCCAGCGCUCGGGAGGCUGCUGAGCGCUUGAGCAGCCACCUAUGCAGGCGGGGCUGAUGUGGCCUGACCACAGCACCUCACCAGGCCUGGACCCUGCCCAGCCCAACCGCCCACGUGGUGUCAUUAGCUCUGCUGACACUGUGACGUGGAGCCACGGAUGUCCCAGAGCCCAGGAGAGGGCAGGUGAUUCCCGAAGGUCCCCGGUGACCUGGGCUGGGGUUUCGGGCUCUGCGGGGACAGAGUGGACUGGACUGGGUGGCUCGUGGCCCUCACGACUUCCUGCCACUAGAGCCACUAGCUGCCGGCCCUCUGGCCCUGCGGGAAUCGGUGGGUCUCCUGCCUUCUCACUGUGGCUGAGUCAGAGUCCCUGGGGCGCCUCCCCCACCCACCUGGGGGUCCAGGAUCCUACUCUGGGUAUCAGGGGCACAGAAAGGGAUUGGGGGUGGCCUGGGAGAUCCCAGAAGGGUGAUCCAUACAUAAGGACCUGGGAGGACUCAACAGAUGGCGAGAGCUCUGAUUUCGAGAGCAGCACCUCUACACCAAAAGCACCCAGUAGGUGUUCGUUUUCCAGUGAAGGAAUGAAUAAGGAAGGAAAGCCUUGGAUCUUGGCGCACCCAGCUGGAGGACGGAGGGGCUGGCCUGAUGGUCUCCAGGAGCCGUUCCAGCUUGACAGCGAGGAUUCUGGAGGGCAGAGGGGCUGUCCCCGUGGGGCUCAGGAGAGCGGGCUUUGGAGAAGGCCACAGGGCGGGGGUCUAGGAGCUGAGCUCUGCGCGCUCCUCAGCCCUCCCGCCCUCUAAGGCUGGCCCUGUAAGCUCGGGCACACUCUGGGUGUGUGCAUGUUGAGGGGCACCCCACCAGAGAGGGAGAGCCCGCAGCUGGGGUCAGCAGCCAUGGCAACCGUCCAGAACCCACUCUGACUGGCCACAAGGUCUGAGACUGGCGGGUUCCACGCCCUGGAGGUGCCAAGACUCACCUGGGCCCAGUUGACAUUCACCCCUAUUGCUUCACACUUGGAAGCUCCACACCUGUUCUCUACCUGACCCCUGAAGGCUUUUGAGUUUGGGAACUCAGAGCUGAACAACUCUGCUUUGUAAACAGGGAGACUGUGCAGGCAGAAUGGAAUCCUGGGUGAUCUGAGGUCGGAAGAGUCCUUGAGAUCCCCAAGGUCUCAUUUUCAGAUUUCUGCUCCAGUGCCAUUUCCUCGGAGCGGUCUUCCCUGAUCACACUGCUCCCAGCGGCACCUGUCCGCUCUGCCUGGGGCCCUCUGCUGUGCGUUCUCGCCUCCUCCCGCCACCCCAGCCUCCGGCCCCCGUUUACUCCUGCAGCU